CCCAGGGUGAAGGGCAGGGAGUAGAAUGAGCUGUUUAAGUUCACCCCACACUGUCAACUUGGACUAGAACCCCUCUACUGCCUCUCUGUCCCUGGGCUGUCCUGCUAGGGAAAUCUCAGGCUCACAAGGAUGCCUAAUGCCCUCAAGGCGCUCUAAACUGUGAGUGACUUUUGGAUGUUCCCACCACCUCAAGGAGACAUGAUCUGAUGUCACAUUCCAAGCCCUUGACUUCCCUCUGAACUUGAACCUUUUAGACAAAAGAGAAGGACUCCUCUUGGUGAGAGUCAAUUUUAGAAGAAUCAGGAAGAUCCUAACAUACCAACCUGAGAGCAGCCCCUGGAUUUGCGCUUUUCCUGGGCUGCUGCUGUGAUCUCUGAACAAGACACCGGACAUGCAUGUAUCCUAAGUUGUGUUGUCUCGUCCUUUGAACAAGAUGUGGAAAUUAAGGCUCAAGUCUCACAAUUAACACUGAACACCUAGCUACACUGUCCUUGGAAUAUCAGAAUGAGGAGCACAGAAGGAUCAGCUGGAACAGUCUGGGUGCCUCUUGCUGAGCUGGAAGAGAAAAGAGGGGAAAGAGGAAGUCACAGGCAGAGAGAAAAGUCUUCUGAAGACUUACAGAAUGUAAGAUGAGGCAGUUUGGGCACCAACUGCCUAGCAUGAGUGAUCUCAGAAAGGCCAGCUGUG